CAGUCGCCACGGUAAUACGUAGGUGGCAAGCGUUGUCCGGAAUUAUUGGGCGUAAAGGGCUCGCAGGCGGUUUCUUAAGCCUGAUGUGAAAGCCCCCGGCUCAACCUGGGAGGGUCAUUGGAAACUGGGAAACUUGAGUGCAGAAGAGGAGAGUGGAAUUCCACGUGUAGCGGUGAAAUGCGUAGAGAUGUGGAGGAACACCAGUGGCGAAGGCGACUCUCUGGUCUGUAACUGACGCUGAGGAGCGAAAGCGUGGGGAGCGAACAGGAUUAGAUACCCCCGUAGUCCCUGUCUCUUAUAA
rnacentral:rRNA from 1 species